CCGGCACCCUGGAUCCCGCCAUCGCCCGCAGCCCAGCCGGCGACGCCGCCAUCUCCCUGCACCGGAUCGAUGCCCCCAUCUACACUUGUACGUUUUUUUCAGUUGACACCAUAGGGAUAAUACAAAAAUCAUAUCCUUCAGUUCCGUAGAUAUGUUACAACCUCACCGAACAUAUCUCGACGUUCUCGGCGCCGUCCACAACUUCAUCGUGUGAGAGCUUCUGCUCCAGAUCCUCUUCCUCCAUGGUGCCUGCCCGCCGUGACGACCAGGUCUGCAAUCGAAACUGAAGCAUAGUGUUCUUGGAACCAAACUGAAGCAAUCAACAAGAAAGUACAAAAACAUGGGCUGAAGUACCUUGUCCUGAAGCUCCUAUAGCCACUUCUUUACCUGGAUGUAGGAAUCUAAUAGAAAAACAAGGUGUGUCCCUCUACAUAUUCAAGAGGAAAAAUUGAUUGCUGAAAAUGCUUGUGUUUAUAGAAUUUAAUUUCGCUAUAUGUUUCUUAUUUUAAUUCAGCCUAAUAUCUAAUUUUAGUUCAGUUCAAUUAUCAUUUUGGUUUAAGUUCAAGUCAAUUCUUAUUUUAUUUUAUCGUCUUGUGCUUCCAUCCAUUCUGUGGUCUAGAGGAGCCAUCGUGGUGUUUGUGCCUUCUGACUUGUGCAGUUUGAUUUCUUGGCACACUGCCUUGUGCAUGUGUGUGGCAUUAAUCAACCGUCUAAAGGAGAACGGUGUUCUAAAUUAAAGGAGACACAAGGUCGCCUCCGGCGCUGCUGGUGGCAUGAAGGCCGUUAAAUGGUGAUAUAUUUGGACCCUUGCCUCGUCGGUACAACAACAUGCUCCACAGCCGGUCAAGAGAAGAGUUGCAUGCAGGCCACCCUCUGCUCCGUCCUUGAUCCGACGCAGUCAUCUCCCUCUCAUCCUCUCUCUGCUCCGUGUGUGUGUGCAGGGAGUGGAAGGAGAUACUGCAGGGGAGUGGGAGGUCCUUCCAUGGUGAAUUCAUAGGCAUCUGCCAUGGAGAUUGUGAGCUCUCUCGAUUAUUGCUUGAGGAUUUAUGUUGUGCAGAGAAGCUUCGGUACGAGAAAAAAUGGGUCGUCACUUCAUCCAUAUGCAACCUCCUGCGUGGUCGUCCAUUUUUAUUUGGAGCUACUCGUUGUGUGGUCAUCCAUAUGUGUAUUGUGUUGUCAAGUCGUGUGCAAGUUUGUUACAAGUUCAUUUAUAUGUUGGUAACCACUGUUAUUGAUGCUAGCUAUCGAUCUGACUGUUGUAUUAUUGU